UACGUAGGGGGCAAGCGUUGUCCGGAUUUAUUGGGCGUAAAGAGCGUGUAGGCGGCCAAGCAGGUCUGCUGUGAAAACUCGAGGCUCAACCUCGAGACGUCGGUGGAAACCGUUUGGCUAGAGUCCGGAAGAGGAGAGUGGAAUUCCCGGUGUAGCGGUGAAAUGCGCAGAUAUCGGGAGGAACACCUGUGGCGAAAGCGGCUCACUGGACCACAACUGACGCUGAUGCACGAAAGCUAGGGGAGCAAACAGG
rnacentral:rRNA from 1 species